AUAAAUUUAGUCUGAACGUCAUUGAUUGGGAGAAAAGUAUCAUUCUUGCAAUUGCUUUGGGUUCAGAUAUAUGUUGUUGGAAUCCUUUGGGGACAAUGAUCAUCCUAUGAGUGUGGCCUGCUCUCACACUGCUACAAUUCUCGCUGUUGGAUAUAUGGACUCCAAACUUCAGCUCUGGUAAGAGUGCAUAAAAGCACACACUAAAGAAGUAUGUGGACUGAAAUGGUCUACUGAAGGCAAUCAACUGGCAAGAGGUGGUAAUGAUAAGCUUGUAUACAGGACCCUUCCAGAUGAGUUAAAGCAAAUUCAUGAAUGGAUUUAUUUCACAUUGUGAUGCAUUCAAGGCCCUCGCAUGGUCCCUUAUUAAUCUAAUGCACUUGCCUCUAGAGAAGGCACAGUAGAUGAAUGCGUUAAGAUAUAUGGACUGGGGAGGAACAGACAUCACAAGGAGAUACUAAGUGGACAUGGCUUGAGUUGCAGAGGAACAAAAACAAGUUAUGCUUGUGGAAGUACCCUUCCAUGACAAAAGUUGGAGAGUAAUAAUGCUGCAAAACUUAAAAAGUCCUUGAGCAAUUUCCCAGAGCCCUGAUGGUCAAAUUCCGUACCAGGCUAUCAGCUGGGGCGGAUGAGACCUCUUUCUCCUAGGAGAUUUUUUAAAUUGAAUCACCUACAGAUGAAGAUUCAAAUGUUUCAUAUCUUGACAGUCAUCUAUCUUGAAGGAUAACUUGAAGAUUCAAAUUAUUGAAUAAUCAUUCUCCAUAAUUCGCUUUCAUUUAUUAAUUUUCAUUA